rnacentral:rRNA from 1 species
AUUGAACGCUGGCGGCAGGCCUAACACAUGCAAUUCGAACGAGUGGCGGACGGGUGAGGAAUGUCUGGGAAACUGCCGGAUGGAGGGGGAUAACUACUGGAAACGGUAGCUCAUACCGCAUACCAUCCGAUUUGCACAGAUGGGCUUAGCUAGUGGUUGGGGUAACGGCUCACCAAGGCGACGAUCCCUAGCUGGUCUGAGAGGAUUACCAGCCACACUGGAACUGAGACACGGUCCAGACUCCUACGGGAGUCAUCAGUGGGGAAUAUUGCACAAUGGGCGCAAGCCUGAUGCAGCCAUGCCGCGUGUAUGAAGAAGGCCUUCGGGUUGUAAAGUACUUUCAGCGGGGAGGCGUUACCCGCAGAAGAAGCACCGGCUAACUCCGUGCCAGCCGCCGCGGUAAUUC